UACGUAGGGUGCAAGCGUUGUCCGGAAUUAUUGGGCGUAAAGAGCUCGUAGGCGGUUUGUCGCGUCUGCUGUGAAAAUCCGGGGCUCAACCCCGGACUUGCAGUGGGUACGGGCAGGCUAGAGUGUGGUAGGGGAGACUGGAAUUCCUGGUGUAGCAGUGAAAUGCGUAGAUAUCAGGAGGAACACCGAUGGCGAAGGCAGGUCUCUGGGCUGACACUGACGCUCAUGCACGAAAGCGUGGGGAGCAAACAGG
rnacentral:rRNA from 1 species